CAAUGGGCGCAAGCCUGAUGCAGCCAUGCCGCGUGUGUGAAGAAGGCCUUCGGGUUGUAAAGCACUUUCAGUCGUGAGGAAGGUGGUAGUGUUAAUAGCACUAUCAUUUGACGUUAGCGACAGAAGAAGCACCGGCUAACUCCGUGCCAGCAGCCGCGGUAAUACGGAGGGUGCGAGCGUUAAUCGGAAUUACUGGGCGUAAAGCGCAUGCAGGUGGUUUGUUAAGUCAGAUGUGAAAGCCCGGGGCUCAACCUCGGAAUAGCAUUUGAAACUGGCAGACUAGAGUACUGUAGAGGGGGGUAGAAUUUCAGGUGUAGCGGUGAAAUGCGUAGAGAUCUGAAGGAAUACCGGUGGCGAAGGCGGCCCCCUGGACAGAUACUGACACUCAGAUGCGAAAGCGUGGGGAGCAAACAGGAUUAGAUACCCUGGUAGUCCACGCCGUAAACGAUGUCUACUUGGAGGUUGUGGCCUUGAGCCGUGGCUUUCGGAGCUAACGCGUUAAGUAGACCGCCUGGG
rnacentral:rRNA from 1 species